AUACGUAUGUCGCAAGCGUUAUCCGGAAUUAUUGGGCGUAAAGCGAGUCUAGGCGGCUUGUUAAGUCAGAUGUGAAAAUGCGGGGCUCAACUCCGUAUUGCGUUUGAAACUGGCAGGCUAGAGUACUGGAGAGGUGGGCGGAACUACAAGUGUAGAGGUGAAAUUCGUAGAUAUUCGUAGGAAUGCCGAUAGUGAAGACAGCUCACUGGACAGAUACUGACGCUAAAGCUCGAAAGCGUGGGGAGCGAACAGGAUUAGAAACCCGGGUAGUCC
rnacentral:rRNA from 1 species